GACGAACGCUGGCGGCGUGCUUAACACAUGCAAGUCGAACGGAAAGGCCCUGCUUUUGUGGGGUGCUCGAGUGGCGAACGGGUGAGUAACACGUGAGUAACCUGCCCUUGACUUUGGGAUAACUUCAGGAAACUGGGGCUAAUACCGGAUAGGAGCUCCUGCUGCAUGGUGGGGGUUGGAAAGUUUCGGCGGUUGGGGAUGGACUCGCGGCUUAUCAGCUUGUUGGUGGGGUAGUGGCUUACCAAGGCUUUGACGGGUAGCCGGCCUGAGAGGGUGACCGGCCACAUGGGGACUGCGAUACGGACCAGACUCGUACGGGAGGCAGCAGUGGGGAACAUGGCACAAUGGGCGGACGCCUGAUGCGGCAACGUCGCGUGCGGGAUGACGGCCUUCGGGUGGUAAACAGAUUUCGCAGGUGGCGAAGCGUGAGUGACGGUAAUGGGUAAAGAAGCACCGGCUAACUACGUG
rnacentral:rRNA from 1 species